GCCUGGCUGGCUCCGUCGGUGGAGCCUGCGACUCUUGAUCUCGGGGUCGUAGGUUCAAGUCCCACGUUGGGUG
rnacentral:tRNA from 1 species